GAGCGCGAAUGGAGCAAUCCUAGUAGAGCGGCGCACGGGUGAGUAACACGUGGGUAAUCUGCCUGGAAGUCCGGGACAACCUGCCGAAAGGCUGGCUAAUACCGGAUAAGCCCACAGGGUCUUCGGACCCCGAGGGAAAAGAUGGCCUCUGCAUGCAAGCUAUCACUUCCAGAUGAGCCCGCGACCCAUCAGCUAGUUGGCGGGGUAAUGGCCCACCAAGGCAACGACGGGUAGCUGGUCUGAGAGGACGAUCAGCCACACUGGAACUGAGACACGGUCCAGACUCCUACGGGAGGCAGCAGUGGGGAAUUUUGCGCAAUGGGCGAAAGCCUGACGCAGCAACGCCGCGUGUGUGAUGAAGGUCUUCGGAUCGUAAAGCACUUUCGACUGGGACGAAAACCCGCUGGCUAACAUCCAGCGGUCUGACGGUACCGGGAGAAGAAGCACCGGCUAACUCUGUG
rnacentral:rRNA from 1 species